CAGACGGGGUUAUUCCCACUUUUGCGGCGUGGGAUUCUCAUCCCAAUGGAUCGGAGGAUUUGGGAGGGCGGGGGUCUCGAACCCACGGCCCGGCCUGUUAGUCCUCGUACCAUAGAGAGGCGCGGGUAGAGCGGCGGCGUGACCGUCGAGAGGGGCGGGUAGAGCGGCCCUGGCCGUGCGCUCAGCGCCCCUUGGCGGGCGGGCGGGCGGGCGCGGCGGCGGCGGUUCCCAUGGAGAUGGAAGAUGGCGCCCAGGGGCCGCCAUCGCUCCUCGGCGCCGCUGCAGAUCCUGCUCUUCCUCAACGGCUGGUACAGCGCCACUUAUUUCCUCCUGGAGGCGUUCGUGUUCGUGUACAAGGUGCUGCUCCUGCCCUAUCCCGUCUCCAACCUGGUGCUGGACGUGGUGCUGCUCCUCCUCUACCUCGGCACUGAGGCCACGCGGAUCUUCUUCGGCUCCAAGGGGAACCUGUGCCGGCGGAAGGUGCCGCUGUCGCUCAGCCUGGCGCUCACGGUGCCGGCGGCGGCGCUGGCCGGGUACUACCUGCUGCUCCAGACCUAUUCCCUGCGCCUGGAAUCCUUCCUCAGCGCCAUCCUGCUCCUCUUCUACGGCCUCGAGCUGCUCCUGGGCCUCCUGGCGCUGCUCUCCUUCUCCAGUGCGGAUCCCUACUGAGGCCACACCGGGGACACGGCCCAGGGACACAGGGAAGGGUGACCGGUGCCAGCUCCGCUUCCCAGCCCUGGGAAAGGGAGGGAUCCCACUUUUUUCCACUCCUCAUUUCACCUGGACUCAUCCCUCCCACCUCUCCUGCUCCUACCUGGACUCAUCCCUCUCACCUCUCCUGCUCCUACCUGGACUUGUCAUUCCCACCUUUUCUGCUCCCGUCUGGACAAAUCCUCCCUCCUGCUUCUCCCACUCCCACCUGGACACACCCUUUCCGCUUUUCCCACUUCUACACUUGGACUCAUCCCUCCCACCUUUCCCACUCCCUCCUGCUUUUCCCGCUUCCCACCUCACCCCCAGCACGUGCCAGGGACCUGCUCCCGCCCGGACUCACCCCCUCUGAGUUUGUGCCAGCUCAAGGCAAUCCUUGAGGGAGGAGAGCAGGACGCGGCACCGCUCGUCCCCGGCCACGCGCGACUGUUUGAUGACGGCGAUGGCCGUGAGCAGCGUCUCGAUGGCGU